rnacentral:rRNA from 1 species
UACGUAGGGACCGAGCGUUGUCCGGAAUCAUUGGGCGUAAAGAGCGUGUAGGCGGCUAUUUAAGUCCUGCGUGAAAUCCUGCGGCUCAACCGCAGACGGUCGUGGGAAACUGGAUGGCUAGAGUGCGGGAGAGGAGAGUGGAAUUCCCGGUGUAGCGGUGAAAUGCGCAGAUAUCGGGAAGAACACCGGUGGCGAAGGCGGCUCACUGGCUCGUAACUGACGCUCAUGCACGACAGCGUGGGGAUCAAACAGG